ACAGCAGUAGCCGCGGUAAAACGGAGGGGGCUAGCGUUGUUCGGAAUUACUGGGCGUAAAGCGCACGUAGGCGGCUUGGUAAGUUAGAGGUGAAAGCCUGGAGCUCAACUCCAGAAUUGCCUUUAAGACUGCCGAGCUAGUAGGUGAGAGAGGUAAGUGGAAUUCCGAGUGUAGAGGUGAAAUUCGUAGAUAUUCGGAAGAACACCAGUGGCGAAGGCGACUGACUGGACAAGUAUUGACGCUGAGGUGCGAAAGCGUGGGGAGCAAACAGGAUUAGAUACCCGUGUAGUCCCUGUCUCUUAUAC
rnacentral:rRNA from 1 species